CUGGAUUUUGACGUAAUUUAUUUUGAUGUAGCUAGCUGGUGGCGGAGGUGUAUUUGAAUGUCGGUAGCACCCUGACAGCGAUUAGGAUGUCCUCCGUCUACUAGUCUUCUUAGAUCCUUGAAUUAUGUGGUGUUCAAAUAGACUACAAAGCUUUGUGGAACUGGUUAAGUGUUAGCAUAAAUAUCUAGCCUUUAUCAUGUUGAGCCUCCUCAAUAAAUGUUACUCUCUUUGGUAGGAUCAUAAAUUUUUAUAUUUUCAUUUUUAUAGGACAGGAAUAUUUUAUUUUUACGCCACCACAGUGAAUGUACUUAUGGGUUUUAUGCCUCGAGCAUACUCACAUGGGGCUUACUGUUUUUAACAUUUUUAAUUUCUUUUCAAGAUAGG
rnacentral:lncRNA from 1 species